rnacentral:lncRNA from 1 species
GCUUCGCGGACACGCUGGGCUGGGUUUCAGUCGCGGCUCCGAGGUUGGCAACAAAGAGGGAAAGAAGGAGGAAAAGCAGGCCGGGGAGGGGAGGAAGAGAACCGCGCGGAGGCCGCGGCGCCGAGAGCCCCAGAACUUCCAAUUCUACCCAGAAGCUUUUUUCGUCGUGUUUUUCUCUUAGGUAAACAAGCAAGUUCCACGCCCCAGUCCUGCUGGGGCCUUCGCCAGCCACCGCUCUGGGCUCAUCUCCCGGCGCCUCCUCGGGGCACCUGAGCGUUUUAAGCCCCACUGCCAAGUGUUUUGGACACAGGUUUUUUUGCGGGGUGGUGAGGUUGGGCACAAGAUGCUUCCUAAAAGGUUGUUGGCACGCAGACCAUGGCCCCAGUGACGGAGCGGUAGGCAGGGGCUUGAGGAACACGCUGUCUUUGUCUCGUCCCCAAAGCACCCGGCCGUGGGUCACCCGUGAUCCCUGGAGUGGAGGGACUGUUGUGACCCCUGGUGCUCCAGGAGAAGGGGUUCCAUGCUGGGUCCCGGGCCCAGGCCCACGGUGCCCUCAGCCUGCAGUUCUCCACCUUGCGGAAUGAUUUGCUGGCCCGGCCCAGCUCCCCGGCACCACCAUUUUCUGCCCUCUUUUCCCUGCCUGGCUUCAAACCCUCCCAGGCAAGGGUCCCGAGGAGACACCUGGGCUGGGGGAGGCAACUGAGUGGCCCCAGGCCUGGGAAUCUGCAAAAGUGGCCAAGCCACAUCUCUCGAGACUGCAAGGGCCCUGGAGGCGCUGGGAGGCACAGAUCUGGCUGCCAGCUGGGCCUGAGGCCUCCCUUUGUCCGUCCUUCCUGUUCUUCCUCACCAGACAUGAUCCUCUCUGAGGUUGGUCCUGGGCUUCCAUACGUGAUUCAUGGAAGAGGUCUCAGCCCCAAGAGCCCCUGAGGGUACUGUCCACUCCCCCUGGAAACUUCCAGAACCUGACGUGGGGCUGAAGACAUAGAGGCCUAGGAUGGUCAGCCUCGCACGCUCCACAGCAGAGUGACUGAAGCUCUAUCGAGGUGUGGCACGAGCGUGUUGUCAUUUCAAGAGAAUCUGCAGCCUCCCUGGUUUUUAAUGAAAGCUCCUAUGCAGGGCCUGGCCCUUUCCUGGGGAGGGAAGGCUGGCUGUGUCUCCCGCUGCAUCCUCACUGGGAACUUCAUUCCUGAGCUGCGACCGCUAUUUUUUGGAUUGGAAAAUGCCUUGGGAACGGCUCAUCUUCCUGCGGCUUGAGCCCAUUUGUUUUCUGACUGGUGGUCACUGGUGAUUAGAGUGUGUCCCAAAGGGAACCGUCACCUUAGUUCUAUCAUACACUAUCAAUAACUUGUCCAGGGCUGACUUUGUGGCUGUGUGGCUUGCCCAGUGGUAGAGGGCCGGUGUGCAGAAGGGCCCCACACUCAAUGUUUGGCUGUCCCCGGUCUUAAAAUUCUUAGUCAUUCUUGAACAAGGGAACCCAUAUUUUCAUUUUGUUCUAGGCUCUGAGAGUUACAUAAUUGAUUCUGACUUUGGCUGUUGGUCAACAGUGUCAUAAGGUAAAAUAAGGUAAAAAUCUAUGAUUUUUAUAUUUCUUUUUUUCUUUCUUUCUUUUUCCUUUUUUUUUUUUUUUUUUUUUUUGAGACACAGUCUUGCUCUGUCACCAGGGUGGAGUGCAGUGGCGCAGUGGUGCGAUCUUGGCUCACUGCAACCUCCGCCUCCCGAGUUCAAGCGAUUCUCCUGCCUCAGCCUCCUGAGUAGCUGGGACUACAGGUGCGCACCAUCAUGCCCAGCUAAUUUUUGUAUUUUUAGUAGAGACGGGAUUUCACCAUGUUGGCCAGGGUGGUGGUCUCGAUCUCCUGAACUUGUGAUCCGCCCACCUCGGCCUCCCAAAGUGCUGGGAUUACAGGCGUGAGCCAACGUGCCCAGCUGAUUUUUAUAUUUCUUUUACUAAAUUCUGUUUACAGAAAUAAUUCCAGAUUCUAUGUAAGAUACAAAUAUUUUAACUGAAGAUCAUUGUAUUUAGGGAAAAUGUUCACCUUUAAGAGACAGGGGCUGGGCGUUGUGGCUCACGCCUGUAAUCCCAGCACUUUGGGAGGCCGAGGCUGGUGGAUCGCACGAGCCCAGGAAUUCCAGACCAGCCUGGGCAACACGGCGAAACCCUGUCUAUGCAAAAUAUACAAAAAUUAGCCAAGCAUGGGGGUGUGCACCUGUAACUCCCAGCUACUCCAGAGGCUGAGGUGGGAAGACUGCUCAAGCCCGGGAGGUCAAAGCUGCAGUGAGAGACCUUGUCUUAAAUACAAACAGGCAGGAAGUCGUUAUAAGCAUAAUACAAUCCUGGAUGUUGGAAUCAUCCCUGUCCAGCCUUGGCUCUGCCACGUGGGUGCUGAAUGCUGCCUCAGGGACCCUGGUGCCCAGCUCCCACCUGCAGGGUGUUCUGAGGAGCCAGCACGCUGGGAGGGCCUAGCAGGAGAUGUGGCAUGAACCAGGUAUUCGAUAAAUAAAAAGUGCCUUUGAUUGUCACGUUUAUCAUUUGACAUGUAGGCACAGGUGCAGUUUGAUUAUUUUUAAUGUAAGUCUAUUUUAUCUCUUCCCGUUAUAAAAGCAAUACACACUGUGAUAGACGGUUUGGAGAAUUCAGGAAAGAAAAAGAAAAAGAAAAAAAAUUCCUCCUAGGCCCUCUGCUCCAGAGCCUCCAGCCGUCACAUGACAGUGUAUUUCUUUACAAUUACAGAAAUAGAUACGUGACUGUUACAUUUUGAAACUUUUUCUUUUACCUUGACUUAUUUUUAAAUAGAAACACUAGUGAGGCCCCACAGAACUGAGCAGAACUAAUGGCCCCCCAUGUGGUGGAAUAGUUCUGAGCUGGCCCCACUUUGGAUGCAGCCUUCCCCGGCAAGUCUAAACCCAGUCUCUGUGGCUGCCUGUUCACAGGGACCGUGGACUGUGAUGUUUACAGUACGAAAGCACUGGGAGAGAACGCUACAUCACAAAGUGUCCUUAACCUGCUGCCGCCUCAGCUUUCCCAUUUGUGACUUGGUUAAAAAAAAUUUUUUUGACAGUUUUAAGCUCUUAUUUUAAUUUCCACAGGCUGUUGUAGAAUCUGCUCAGCCAGGGAGGGGAAAGGAGUCGGCAAUCAGGUCUCCUCCUGGGCACCUUUGUGAGGCCAGCUGGCGAGAGUGGGGGGUGACACUGAGGUCCCAGCAGCUCCAAAUGCAGGCAGAGCCCUGUCCUCAGAGAAGGUCACAGCCUAGCCAAGCCCAGCCAGGUGGAUGGGCCCACGGAACGCACAGGAACCUGGAACGGAGGUUGAAAGCAGGAAGCACAGUCUGUGACUCCCCAGCCCACUCUGCAUUCGACCACUUGGGGCCCAGAAGCUUCAGGAAAGGUGCACAAGGUCACUGGGUCCCAGUACUCCCAACAGGAAGGUCUGGUCCAGGGACAGGGCUCUUCCCGACUCCCCUUAGCCACACGCACCAGAAGUUCUGCAGUGCCCAGUGGGCAUAGCAGUCCCCAAGAAUGACCCAGCACUGAAGCUGAGCCAAAGAACUUGGGGAGCGAGCCACACCCCCUCACUCCCUCUUCGCCUGCUCCAGACUUGCCAGGCGGUUGCUUUUCGUGGGAACCGGGAUGUCCUCACCACCCUGUCCAGGGCCCAGCCCCAUGUCCCUGGCCUGCUACAGCUGGAAAAAAAAAAGAGAGAUGUUUGUUUUUAUUUGUUUAUAAAAAGAAAAGUGUUAUAUAUAUAACAUAUUAUACCUCAUGAAUACAUACAAUUAUUUGUCAAUUAACAAUAAAGAAAAAUACAGCAAGCAAAAAAGACUCUCUUCCACAAAAAUAGUGUUCAUUACAGAAAAGUACAAAAAAAAAAAAAAAAAACUAAGAGGAUAUUUAGAAUUAAGAAAAAACUAAGAGGGUAUUUAGAAUUAAAAAAUAAAAAGAAAACAAUUACCCAUGAGGUAAUUACUGAAUGCAUUUGGUUGAAAGUCCUUCUGCUAUAUUUUCCAAACUGUAUGUGUAUAUAUGUGCGCAUGCAUAUAUGUGUUUGUGUGUGUGUACACAUAUCUAUAUGAAUGGACCAUAUCGUAAGUUAUAAAUGCAUACAUAUAUUCAUGUAUAUAUAAUCAUUAGAUCAUACUAUAGGUUAUUUUACAGUCUUUUUGUUGAAUACGUUGUGAGCAUUUUAUGUCAUUAUUUUCUACAAGAUUUGAAAAAUAAAGUAUAAAUACCAGUUAAUUUUUGAAAUCAACCUUAUUAAGGAAUAAGUUCCAUGCAGCAAAAUCCCUUUCACCUCUACUGUUCGAUGAGUUUUGACAAUGUAUGCAACCGUGACAUGUAUCACCACGAUCAAGAAAGAAAACAUCACCACAAAAUGUUCCCUAGAGCCCCUUGCAGGCAGUCUCUGACUUCCUGGCAGCCAGCAAUCUGAAUCCAACCACCGUAGAUCAGUUUCAAUUUAUUAAAAAAAAAUUUUAACUCAUGGAGUAUGAACUCUUGCUCGGGAUCCUGCUAUCUAUGUUGUUGAGUUUAUCAAUAGCCCAUUCCUUUUUACUGCUACGUGAUAUUUUAUCAUAUGCCUAUUGACAUUUGUUUACCCACUCACAUACUGAUGGACAAUUGAAUUGUUUGUGUUGUCUGUUUGUUUGUUUUUUGAGACAGGGUCUCACUGUCACCCAGGCUGGAGUGCAGUGGUGCAAUCUCGGCUCACUGCAACCUCUGCCUCCCAGGCUCAAGUGAUCCACCUCGGCCUCCCAAAGUGCUGAAAUUACAGGCGUGAGCCACUGUGCCUGGCCUGUUUCUGAUUUUUUAAAAUGUUUGCUAUUGUGACUAGAACUUUGUGAAUGCCAAUUAAUUUUUACAGUGUUUUAAUGAGCAAUGUCACCCGCACGUGCUGUGAAUGCCCACGCAUGUGGGCACAGCCUGUGUGUUUCCUUCCUGGAGCACUUGAGAUGGGGAAACCAAGAGAUGGGGGGUGAAGAAAGGAGCCAGAGGCCACACAGCUGGUUAGGAACAGGCUAGGGGAACCCAGCCUCUAAAUCCCAGUAUUCCAGGACAACAUGCUGCCAUACUCUCACAACACUUGCCUGUAUCAGAAAUGCUUGUAAUUUUCCCACACAGAGAAAUUUCCAUGAAAAUCAAGUUGUGGGCUGAGAGAUGAAAGGCAGCCUCAUGUUAAUUAGGCAGGCUUUGGUUUGGUCCGUCCACCAAGCUCAGGGGUGUGUGUGAAUAUCUCUAUUUUCAUACACACAUGCACACACGCACACACACACACACACACACACACGGACACGUCGCUCACACCCACCAACGCCAGUGGCGAUGAUCCAGUCCAGAUCUUUUCUAUACUGCCUUCAGAGCACGUGGCCAGACUGGCUUCUGACUUUACAGUCGUGGCACAUGCUGGCCCUGGACAGGAGGCCCUGGCUUGGCUUCUGAGCAUCCAUUCAGCAGACUUGUCUUAAAGGAUGUCUGAUUAUUUCCGCAAAUCAAAUCUCCCCUCAAGGACAAAGUUCAGGCUGCUGGGGAGAUUCAAAGGGAUGAUCUGUCUGCAAGACGGCUGCUUCCAAAAAGGUGUCACGGCGGCCUGGGAGUGGCUGUGCCCAACAGAAGGCAGGGGAAGAGGAGGUGCUCCUUGGAGUAUGGGCACCCUGGGUGUCUGUAGAGGAUUCUUGGGCCACUCUACCGUAGCUCAGCAUUGAAACAGAGACAAUGUUUGAUUUUGCUCACUUAUUAAUUAGCUCCUAGUUAUGUGUCCAAUGGGGCUAUUUCCAUGAUCUUAUUGAAUCCUAAAUAACUAUUAUCCUGCUUUUACAGAUGAGAAACGUGAGGCCCAGAGAGGUUAAGAAACUUGCCCAAGGACACACAGCAGUGGGUACUCAGUCCAAGAAUGCCCAUUCUUUGCAGACACAGGCUUCUCAUCUGAGUUAGAGGUCUCUGCCCAUUUGUGGCUAGCAGGCUCCAAAGAACACACGUUCACUUGGAGCUAGCUCGGGUAGAACCCUAAACAAUUCUAGUGUGCUUGGAGGACACAAAUGGUGCAGACCCCCACUUCCUGUUCAGGUCUCUGAGGGGCCCUCCCUCCUCAGACCACACCCCACUGCUGAGCAGACCUCUAGCACUUGUCCUGGCCCCCAUUCAAAAAGGCAAAUGUCAGCUGGGCGCGGUGGCUCAUGCCUGUAAUCCCAGCACUUUGGGAGGCCGAGGCAGGCGGAUCACGAGGUCAGGAGAUCGAGACCAUCCUGGCUAACAUGGUGAAACCCGUCUCUACUAAAAAUACAAAAAAAAAAAAAAAAAAAAAUUAGCCGGGCUUGGUGGCGGGUGCCUGUAGUCCCAGGUACUCCGGAGGCUUAGGCAGGAGAAUGGCGUGAACCCGGGAGGCGGAGCUUGCAGUGAACUGAGAUCGCGCCACUGCACUCCAGCCUGGGCGACAGAGCGAGACUCUCAAAAAAAAAAAAAAAAAAAAAAAAAGAAGGCGAGUGUCCGGUCCCUGAGUUGAGCAAAGAAGAAUCACCUCCUCUCAGCCCUCGGUCCACAGUCUCCAUGGUCUUGAAGUCAGCGGGCCUAAGGAGGCCUCUGUCCACGGGAGAUGAAACCAGGAAAGGAAGGGCCCAUUCUCUCAGAAAACAUGUGUUUUCUGUUUACAGAGGGACCUGUCCAGUUCCCAUGCUUUGUUCUUUAAUAUGGAGCCAAAAAAAAAAAAAAAAAAUCAAAUGCGCAGCUUCCGCUCUGAGGUACACUUGAAGGCUAGAAAGUCCGGAUUGCUGCGGGCUCAUUGUGCUGGGGUGUCCUAUCUGCUGCUGACGUCCAGCAUAUACCAACCUGGAAAGCCAAGGAAAAAGCCAGACUGCCCCCUCCGCAUUACAAGGGAGGACGGGGUACAGAGGGGAGAGGCAGCCUCGGCACCCUGGGGGCUGGCUUGACACUGUGUGAGCACACUGGGGGUGUUCUGUUGUGCACUUGUAGCCCUGGCACCACAGGCCCAGCAGGCUUGGCGCCACACACCGGCCAUUCAGAUCCUGGGCAGAGGGCAUCCUUUCCCACCCCAAGCAAAGGGAGGCAGAGUAUUGGGAGAUCUGGGGUAACCAGUGGGUGGGAAUCUCCAGGCAACCUGGGUCAAGCUGAGGGAUGCUGAGCACCUUCAGAGUUGGGAGAGGGGCUUAGCUCUGGGUAAGCGGGUCUUCCAACUCGAGGAGGCAGCAGUGAGCUAAGGUAAUCAACAGAGCUGCCAGCCAGCUACACCUACUGAAGGGAAACUAUUAUCACAGGAUGCCGGCUCAGCACACAGGCUAACAGCUGAGAUUCAGUAUCAAGGAUCUGGGUCCAAAUCUAGGCUGUGUCCCUUUGCCCUCCAGGGCCUCUGGCAAGCUGCUUCUCUGACCUCGGCCCCUCAUCUGUGAAAAGGGGUGGCAUGCACGUUUAUACAGCUGCCAGGAGUACUGAGAUAACACAUUUACGUCUAAGUCCAGGAUGGCCUGGCACAUGCUUUUCAAUACACGGCAGCUGCCGUUGACAUCUCGGGGCUUUAGACUUCACCGAAGGGGCACUCUGGCUAGAAACAGCUCACCAGCUUAGGCUGUCACAGCCAGCGGAGAGGGGGUCCUACAAUCCCUCCCACCCAGGGCAGACCCCGACUAAGACGGGAGGAUGCCUCGCUGGGCCACACCUUCCUCCCUGUGCAGAAGGGGUGACAUCAGUAACCGUGGUUGACAACGGAGCCUAGGGUUCUGAUGUCACUUCUGCCCGGGUGGUGCGUCCAGCUUAGGCUGAGACGAGGGGUGGCCCUCGACCCAGUGCACAGGGUCAGCCCUGGCUCCGCGCCUCCGACCUCUCGGGGGCUGCAGCAGGGCCUGGCACGCGUGUCCCCGGGGCCGGGCCGCUGGCCCCUUUCAUCUCCGCCUCCCGGCUGUCCGGCCUCUACGUCCCGCGCACCUGGGGCCAGACGGGGACAGCAAAAAACCAUCGCAGGAAGCGCGCACGACCUCGUUUGGGACCAGCCCGCCUCCCGGGCGGAAGCCGCGGCGCCUUGGACUGGACGGUCCCGCCCGCUCUUCCGUCCCGCCCCGGAAGUCAGGACGAGGGCGCGACGCGCGG